ACGGGUGAGUAACGCGUAUGUAACCUGCCUGGUAGCGGGGGAUAACUAUUGGAAACGAUAGCUAAUACCGCACGACAUUGCUUGACACAUGUUAUUUAUUUGAAAGAUGCAAGUGCUCUACAACUAAAUGGACCUGCGUUGUAUUGGCUACGAGGUGAGGUAACGGCUCACCAGGGGCCGGAUCCAUAGCGCAACUGGCAGGGUGAGGGCUGACCUGGGGAACGAACACGGCCCCAGACUCCUCCGGGAGGAAACUUAAGGAAUCCUCCGGAAUGGAGGGAAAUCUUGACCAACCACCCCCGCGGGAUGAAAAAAGGUUUUCGAAUCGUAACGUUUGGUUGUAAAUAAAAAACGAGUGUAAAAGGGAAAAGUCACACUGUUACGGGUCUUAUAACACAUAGACACGGCUAUAUACGUCACCCCCCGCGCGAUUACUCGCUGCCCCGAGCGUUGUCCAUUUUUUUUGAGCGUUGAGCGAGCAUUAUUGUAUUAUAGCUCGGAAAAAGGCUGCUGUUGAUCAAUCAUAGUUUCGGAAAAUUUGCCUUCUAUGCUAUAGAAGGGAAUAGUGGAAAUGUUGUCGAUGAAAGGGGAAGUAUAUGUAUGGAGAACCACUGGGGAAGAAACUCUCUGUCUGGUCUGUGACUGAGACUGAGGCUCGGAAGCGAGCGGACGGGACAGGAUUCAAUGCCCCU
rnacentral:rRNA from 1 species